rnacentral:rRNA from 1 species
GAUGAACGCUAGCGGCAGGCCUAACACACGCAAGUCGAGGGGUAGAAGGAGCUUGCUCCUUUGAGACCGGCGCACGGGUGCGUAACGCGUAUGCAAUCUACCUUUUACGGAGGGAUAGCCCAGAGAAAUUUGGAUUAAUACCUCAUAGUAUAUAUCAUUCGAAUGUUUGGUAUAUUAAAGCUCCCACGGUAAAAGAUGAGCAUGCGUCCCAUUAGUUAGUUGGUAAGGUAACGGCUUACCAAGACGAUGAUGGGUAGGGGUCCUGAGAGGGAGAUCCCCCACACUGGUACUGAGACACGGACCAGACUCCUACGGGAGGCAGCAGUGAGGAAUAUUGGCCAAUGGACGCAAGUCUGAACCAGCCAUGCCGCGUGCAGGAAGACGGUCCUAUGGAUUGUAAACUGCUUUUGUACGGGAAGAAACACUCCUACGUGUAGGAGCCUGACGGUACCGUAAGAAUAAGGAUCGGCUAACUCCGUGCCAGCAGCCGCGGUAA